ensembl:lncRNA
CCAGGGUUAGCAGACAGCAGUUAUUAAUGAAAGCAGUACAGGCAUGUGAAACAAUCCAUCAUUUACUGACCCAGACACAGUACAAGAACAUUAAUGUUAAUACUGUCAAACAAAAGCUCAGACACGGAAGAACAAGAAGGACAGAACCGGGGACUAUAUGCUGGAAAGCUAUAAAUGUCAAGAUUAACUACAGGUAAUUGUAUUGCAUGUAAUUCAACAUGGCGUCUCUAUACAGUUCUAUGGCAAAAAGUAGCUAUAAGCAAUGGUGUGUGUAUGAAAGUGCUGAGAUUUUAAAUGAAGUUUGUGUGCAGUCCGUGCACUCCUGUUCUCCAAAGGUGUAACAAAAAUAAACAUUGACAGAAGAUAGAAGAGAGCCAUAAAAACAGUUUGAAGACUGUAGAAAAUGACUUAAAGCAAACAAUUUAGAGAGAGUUCUUAGGAUACCAAGUGGGAGGGUGCAUUGCAGCUUGAUUACAGUGUUCAAAUGCUUUCACAGACAGAAAAUAUUGGCUAGUGAGGGACUUCUAUAAUCUCGUGAAGAAAAGCAUACCAAGAACUAAUGGUUUAAAGUUAAAUCUAGUCAAACUGAAAUAAAAAAUAAUGCAAGUUUCUAACAGUGAGAGUGACUGAGUACUGGAAUAAAUGACCAGAGAAGGGGAUCAGUCCUCAUUUCUUGAUGUCUUUAAAUCAAGCUUGUCUGUCUCAGAAGAAGACUUCAGAAAAAAACCCCAAGCCAACAAAUUGUGCUUCUGUCAGUUUCAAGUUACUGGUCUUCACCCUGAAGUACAAGGAAAAUUUAUGACCUGAUAUUUAGAUGGGGCUAUAGAGGAUAAUCUCCUGUCCUUUCCAGUCUUAACCUUCAUGAAUCUAUCAAUUUACUGAGUGAGUAUGGAGAAAAAAAACUUGAGUGACUUUUGCCAUCUGUAGAACAAUGUGAUUCACAGCAGAUUGCAAAUCACCCAGUAAUAAGUAUAUGUCAGAAACUAUCAAGAUGAAUAUAUCCUUGCAUUGCCUUCUAAUUUAAAAGUUCAGAGUUAUUUAAUAUUUUACAGAUUAAUUUUAUACUGGGUAAUUGAAUUAAUGUGAAAGGGUUAAGCAGACAGGCUAAUGAAACACUGUGCCAUGUACUUAGCUUAAUGCGGUUGGAAAAAUCAAUGUACUUUGGUCUGUCAGUUAGCAAUGAGAGAUUUAAUUGAAUAACAUGUCAAGUAUUUUAACUGUUUAUCAAUGUAAAUAGAAUCCAGCACUAUAGUAAUGGUAAUAGGCAAAGAUGCUUUCCCUGAAUUUAAAUCAGAUUUGAACAUGACCUUCAUUUUAAGCCCCUAACAUUCCAGAUUCAGAUCAAACUAGCUAUCAUUACAUCUACAGAGCUUGGUGACUGUGAAUCAACUCUACUUCUGUGAAUCAACUCUAUAUUCACCAUUCGUUCUGUGAAUCAACUCUAUAUUCACCAUUGGUUCACUCUCUAAAACAUAGGCAACGAGUAAUCAGUUUGCUAUAAUUAGCCACGGUUAUUUCAUUGUGCAUAAAAGCAUAAAAGUUCACUUCCACUUUACUGUUGUUACUGGGAGGAGAACUAAAUUACACGCCAAUCUUUUACUGAGCCUGCAUGGUAAGUGGUGAAGGCCACCUUGUGCAUAAGUACAUAAAGGGAAAAAGGGAAUGAGAGGAAAAGCAGAAUCCUCUCCUCAGCACGUUCGAAGCACAGCUGUAUGUAACUCCUUACUCUUCUCCCUUUUACCAUUCCUGGGCACUGGCUUCCGUGCAGAAGCAGCAAGAAAGGGAGAUAUGGCUCUGUCCAGGUUGAAGGAGCUUGUCACUAUCAGACCAGCACCUUGAGUGGUGAUGCUUUGGUAAUGCAAUGUGUACCUUCCUGUUUUUUUUUUUUUUCAGCUGCAACAAAUGCAUUUGUUCAAUAAGAUCCAGAUGUCUGCAAUGCAGAUGUUUCCAUCUGACCUACCUGUUUAUGCUCUCAUAGCAGUCAAUCUGAAGACGUAAAUUAGUACUCUUUGUACCACAGUCAUCAUCCUAAAAUAGAUAUCUAGAAACAAUCAGAUAUACAGGGCUGCACAGGGAUCUAUUUCAUCUGAGCAAUUAUAAAGGUUCUCAGAUGGUAAUAUUGACACUGCUGAUAUCAGAAGUUAAGAGAAAUGAAUCCUGCCUCCAAACUUUCCUUAGCAAGCUACAGAUGGAUACUGCCCUAAAAGUAGAGGGUACUUUGUACCAUUUUUAGCAGACAGACCAUGUGUGCCAUAGAGAAUUAUUAUACCAUUUUAACCUUGCUUACAAAAUCUUCUAGCACUUUCUUGAUAACACUUCAGCCUGUUACAUUACCCUAACACACUGCCACCUCAAAUGUAAUAGAAACUCAUUGGGCUGGGUGCUUUACAAACUCACAAUCAUAGAAUCAUAUCAUAGAAUCAUAGAAUGGCCUGGGUUGAAAAGGACUACAAUGAUCAUCGAGUUUCAACCCCCCUGCUGUGUGCAGGGUUGCUAACCACCAGACCAGGCUGCCCAGAGCCACAUCCAGCCUGGCCUUGAAUGCCUCCAGGGAUGGGGCAUCCACAACCUCCUUGGGCAACCUGUUCCAGUGCGUAUCCACCCUCUGUGUGAAAAACUUCCUCCUAAUAUCUAACCUAAACCUCCCCUGUCUCAGUUUAAAACCAUUCCUCCUUGUCCUACCACUACCCACCUUCGUAAACAGCUGUUCCUCCUUCUGUUUAUAUGCUCCCUUCAAGUUCUGGAAGGCCACAGUGAGGUCUCCCCGGAGCCUUCUCUUCUCCAAGCUAAACAAUCCCAGUUCCCUCAACCUGCCUUCACAGGAGAGGUGUUCCAGCCCUCUGAUCAUCUUAGUGGCCCUCCUCUGGACCUGUUUCAAGAGCUUUGCGUCUUUCUUGUGCUGGGGGCCCCAGGCCUGGAUGCCGUACUCCAGAUGGGGCCUGAAUCCCUGCAUCAAAUUGCUGCUCUUUUAAGAAAAGAGAAAACAGAUGAGAAAAUAGGCAGAUUGACGUGAGAGUACACAGACACAUUAGUCAGCACAGUAGGCAGUUCUCUUAGCACACUACUGAUCUAUCUGUUGCCGAGCUUUUGGGCAGCAUUAUGGCAAAGGAGAAAGAAGGGAAGAAGAUAGAAAAACUACUCCAUAGAGAGCUGUGGAGGGCACUGUGGGAAAAAGCACAAACAUAUUCAUCUGAAAAUGUAGCAAAUGGGUGCUGGAAGCUAGUACCAGAGGCUGAGAGGAUGGAGGUACCAUCUGUGCACUGAGGACUCAGAAGACGGGCAAGAUCUUGAAAAAGAAAAGCAGUCUUCAGUUGAGGCAACAGAAAAAGAAUUGAACCACAGAUUCAUUCCUUCUCUAUUUCUGUGUGGUUUUCUUCUAUCUUAGAUAACACAUUUUUUCUCCAUUGUAUAUCCUAAAUUGAGAUAUAAUAAUGUAAAAGAGAACUACAGCUUGCUUAUCUAUUUUACAAAUACAUACGGUUCAUUAAAUGAACACAGACUAUUAAUUCUACAAACCUAAGCACUCAACUUGGAUAAUGUCCUUAUUAAAGCUCUAUGUUUGGUCUUGGCUGACUGUGGAGAAUUUAUAUUAUUUUCAAAUAAUACAUAUAAUAUACAGCUUUUCCUAUGAUCUUUAAAUGUAGGAAACACACAUAAUACUUUUCAAUCUCUGCUUUUUCUUGAUAUUUUUGUAGUAUGUUUUUCUCCCAUGGCUUAGUUCAUUAUAUUUGGCAGUUUAAAAUGAUAAAUCUUCUUCAUCUAAGGAAAACAUAUGUUAAAAAUUGUGGAAUACCCAGACAUUAUAAUUACCCUAUUAAAAAUUACUUAGAUACAACGCAAAAGAUCAAGUAGUUAACAAUGAAGAUAAAUGAGCUACACAAACACAUGCAAUGCAGCCCUCCUUAGGUGCAAUCUAGGGCUGAUGCAAUUAACCACAAAAUCUACUUAAAAAGAAGCUGAGGUUGGCCUAAAUAUCAGCAUUUUUUUUUCCAGUUUCAGUUUGCUGCUUUUUCAUACUACUUUUUGUUGUUACACUUCAUGUGUAGCAUGCUGUACAAAUGUAACACACACCACUCUACUUGUGUAGUCUGCUUUUAUGAUAUACCAGAUAUUUUAUGAUCCACCAAAGUGAAAUAUGUUUUCUUUGGUCAAAGACAGCUUAACAAUCCUCUGCUUUCACGCAGCCUCCCAUUAUUUUUUCCCAUCCUUGUCUUUUUUGAAAGCCUUUCUUUUUGACAUGUUAUUUCAGAGUUUCAGCCUACAGAGCAGAAACCCCUGCACUGGUGCAGAGGAGAAAAGCCAGCUGCCAUAGAAAACACGAGGGAAUUUAUAACCCUACAGUUUUGUAAAGUUUUAUAAAAAUACUGCACCAUUUGCAAAGCAGUAACGAUCUACAGCAUUAGAGACUGCUCCCCAUAUUAAAUAUCCACAGAAUAAAAGAAUUAAGGCUAUACAGGCAACUUCGAGAAUAGAACAGGUACUUAUAUACAGCAGUAAUGGCUUCAGACUCACACCCUUGCAGACAAGCAGUCUCUGCUGCAGAGGCUCAAAACUACUUCAGCCUCUCCUGUCUCCCUUGUAUGUGGAGCCUAGGGAUGGGACCAGUACCUACUCAGAGCCCAUCUUCUUUUACUUCAUGCUGCUGAUCCUCCCUUGCUAAGUAAUGUUUAAUUAGGUGAACAAGAAAUUUAACUCUUGAAUCCACAUGCAGACUGCUUUCUAGUUGGUCUCUAAACUCUUCAUACUCUUGGAGUCUGUAUUAGUUCCUAGAACAGUAUGUAAAAUUUCUAUCUUCCCAGAAGUUUGAAAUAUGCUUAUAAUACUGUAUGUACAGUUCAGUCAGAAAUUCUCUGAUGCAAAGUUUGCUAUAAAAAUGCCUUGUAAAUCCCACCAUAUUGCACAUUCGAUAGACUGAACAACAUUCAAGAGGUAAAACUUAAGUCUGUCUCCUGUGUCCUUGAUAAGUUUAGCGUGAAAACCCAAAGCAAUAAAUGCUUCAUUGCUAUGCUGAAGGAGCCAUGAAAUGUAAAACACACAGUGCUCACUGAUGGAUAUUCAUUUAAGUUUUUCAGUUUUCGUAUUCCAGACUAAUAGGUAAUAACCCCGUUCAAUUAAACAAUAAAAAGUAUAGGGAGAAUCAAUAUCACUUCUUCUAGAGAAGAAACAAAGAAAAAUGACCAGGCGUCAAAAUCGUGGUGUGUGAAAAUCUUUGACUGCAAAUAGGGUGGUAAACAUGGAACCAAAAUUCUUCUGCAAGCUUUAGCAUAUUGCCUAGCUGGUAUUAUUAUAGGCUAAGUAAUGAUUCUUUCACUUUUAAACUAUAUCUUUCUGCUGGAUACUUUCACAAACUGCUCCAAAGUCCUUCUGCGUCUUAUAGUUUAGCAUAGCAUUGUUUGGUGUGCUGGUUCCAGACACAAGUACACUCCCGUGUGAUCGCGUUUAUCUACAAUGACAAUCUACUAUCUAUUCCAAUUUGGUCCAAUUUUCCAAACCUUCACACAUCUCAGAUUUUACUUUACCCUCCACUCUUUCUAAUCUCUUUUAGUGUAAUAGUGGUAGGUUUGAUAAAUAUGAGAUUCAGCUCAUAUUUCAGGUCAUUUACAAAGACAUCAGAUAUCACUGCCUCUAACUCGCUAUGCUCUGAAGCAUUUCCCAGGCUUGCUUUGUUAGGACCAGUUGAUGUCUGCACAAAAUAUAAGGCUCUUACAGCGGCUGAAGUAAAAAGAAAAAAGAGAGUGAAAGCAAUCUCUUCCUCAUUACUGCCUGAUUCAAACAAGGGACAUUUCUGAGCUAAGAAAUUUUACUCGCAUUCUGGGAUUAGACUAUUGGCAGUACAAAAUAUUUCUGAUUAGCAAAGAUACCCAGGUCUGCUCUUCUGUAUGCAGCUAUUUAAAAUUCAGCUUAAUUCAUAGAAUUUUUUAAUAGUAUUAGAAAUGGCCAAGCAUAGAAACAGAAAUAAUAAUGAAAAAUUCCUACUGCAGAAUUGUGUUAUACUAAGGAUGGCAUUCCUCUAUAAGAAUCUUUCACCACCUCUUUAAAAGGUGCUAAUCAUAAUGGAGACCAUAAUAAAAUUAUGGUCCUACUAUAACAAAGUGGCCCAAUCUGAUGUAAGUUAGUUAUGUAAGUUAUGUCAGUAAUAGGAAAGCAAAAUAAUACUUCAGCCCAGAAGCUGUGGUCAAGAGCAUAUAUAAUACUUUUCUACCUAGAAAUCAAAAGAAUAUGUUUCCUCAUUAUCAAGAAUCUACCUUUUUUGAAAUCCUAGCUUCUCCCAGUCCAUGACUAACCAAUAACCCUUAGCACUGUGCGUAAUUAAUUCUAGAAAGGCCAUAAAUGCAUAGAAAGCAAAUGAAGCAUAUCCCCAUCUAAAAUCAGUAUGUGCAGGGGCUUGUAUGCACUGACUAGUUCUUCCAGUAUUCUCUACUGCAAGCAAGAAUCAAGGAACUUUCUGCAAUCUCUCUUCUACUUGGCUUGGGCAGUAGCAGCCUUUUUCUUGACAUACAUGUGUUAAAAAGAAAAUAGUAAAACAACAGAUCCAUGACCAUACAUUAAUAUGUCAUUACUAAGGUUACAUGGCCAAUCUAUAAGGGUAUGUGGAAUGUGAGAGUAUUUGCUUCAUUAGCAUUAUCAGAUCAAGGACCUUUUCACUUCAAAGGGAAUCACAAGUAACAGAGAAAGCAAUAAACAAAACCCACAGCAAGCAUAACAGAGAUUACAGCAAGGACUAAAGCUCCCCAGUCACUAAUUGAUGGUCCAUUAAGAAACUAUAGGCAUAGCUUUGGAUAUCACCAAUCUGGACUUUGUAACUAAUAAGAAGGGAGAAACAAGUUCAACUGGAUUACGGAUACUUGAAGGGGCCUAUGGGACUAUGCAUAGUUUAUUAAGAAAUGUUUAGGAGAAAGGCUGAAAGACAGAAAAAGGGCGAACUGGGGAGGAACAAGGCGCACAGCGAGGAGGAAGAACAAAGGGGACCUGCCACGUGCAAGCAGCCACAAGUCAGUUCACUUAUCUAACUUACACUGCAUUUGAUCACUACAGUCAAUCCCAUUUUCUAAUUAAAUCCUUUUUAACUAUCUUUCCAUGUAAAUCUCAUUCUUGACACCCUGUGAGUGCUGGAAAUUCUAGAUACCCUCCACUGCAGAGAGUAGAGCAAGUGAAUUAAGAGCUAUCAGCUGGUGACAGACUUGGGGUGACAUCAGUCUCCACGUCCGUGCUGACAGCAAGUGGGCUGAGUGAGGGUUUCAGCAUCAGCAACUUUGGGACCAGUACAUUUUUAUUUUCUCCUAGUCUGAUUUUUGUGCCUAUGUGUAGUUGAUUAGCAAACAUCAGCCUGGACUUCACAGUGAGCAAGAGGCUCAGGGUCUCACUGGCGAGGCUCAGAGUCCAGCCUGAUGCUCAAAGGCUCUGUGAGUGUUCAGUGCUUAAGAGAUGGGAAAAUGCACCUGUUUGGAUUUUGUCAGGCAGGGCUAGCUGGGGAGUAGCAGACCCACAGAGCAGGUGAGAAGGCCCAGUAUCCAGGCAGGGGUAUCAGACAGGCUGAGUGCCUGUGCUGAUAUUCGAGGCAGCUGACAAUGUGUGCAAGCUUGUGCAUCUAGGAAGUGAAGGCACAUGUAUUUUCACUAGUGAGCUGCAGUCACAACCAGCCAGAGGAGAUGAGUGACUGUACUGAGGUUUUAUGUGUGACCUGGUAGGGUCACACAUCAGUGUGUUGUCAAAGGCAGUGUCCAGUCUGUGGCAGUCCAUGUAGACAGCCAUGUCACAGAAUCACAGAACUGUAGGGGUUGGAAGGGACCUCUGGAGACCAUCUAGUCCAUCUCCCCCCCUGCUAAAGCAGGUUCCCUACAGCAGGUUGCACAGAUAAGCACACAGGCAGGUUUUAACUAUCUCCAGAGAAGGACACACCACAACUUCUCUGGCCAGCCUGUUCCAGUGCUCUGUCACUCUCAAAGUAAAGAAUUUCUGUCACAUGUUCAGACGGAACGUGUUCCAGUUUGUGCCUGUUGCCCCUUGUCCUGUUGCUGGGCACCACUGAAAAGAGCCUUGACAUCUACUUGCCCACUAGAUAUCUAUAAGCAUUGAUAAGAUCCCCUCUCAGCAUUCUCUUUUUCCAGGCUGAAAUGGCCAAGGUCUCUCAGCCUUUUCUCAUCAGAAAGAUGCUCCAGAUGUGUCUUCACCAGGGAGGAGUAGAGGGGAAGAAUAACCUCCCUCAACCUGCUAGCCAUGCCCUUUUCAAUGCACCCCAGAAUACUAUUAGACUCCUUUGCCACACAGGCACACUGCUGGCUCAUACUACUGUUGUGUGCAUGCGCGUGGAUGUGGAUGUGCACGGCUCCCUGGGAUAUGUGCCAUGCCUUACUACUGGCUGAACCUGGAAACACGAGAACUGCAGUUGCAUCCAAUGGUGGUGACAGAGACAUCCAGGUCUCCAGGGGGAACCAGGCUGGGCUCCAGUGUACAGGCAGCAGUAAUAGAGUCCCUUGGCUCUGGAGCCUCUCAAAGGCAACAGCCUUAAAACAUCCCUUAACACUGCUCCUCUAGUAUCAGUAAAUACAGGAACUACAGUUGUUUGCAGUCCUCAUUUGACCAGUCUAGACUUGUGUUUUACAACACUGUCUUUAAUUACACAGUCUCUAUUAUUUUUCCACUUUUACUCUACAGGAUAGAUGAUGCUUACCUAAUGAGAUGCUACAUAUCCUUUUUGUGCUGUUAUUAGCCCCCAUUUACUGCACAACAUUUACAUCUCAAUCUGAAAAUGAAGUGACUAAUUUCCUGUGGGAUCCAUCAAUAUAGUAUCUAGGCACUUCACAUUCAAAUAGUAUUUUCUUCUUCCUCCAGUUGUUGGACUGAGGCACACAUGACAUCAGUGAAAAAUGAUAACUACAAUUCAGUGCUUUUGUGUUAGCAAGUCAGGAACUUUAGAACAGGAAAUAUGCUGUAUGAGAUAUGGUUUAGGUAUCCUUCCUAGUAGAUACGGACCAAGCUCUGUAAUACACCUGCCUGAGCCAUAACACCACUUUUUUCUACACAUGCUGCUCUUUAGCAUGAUAGCACUCCUAAUUUUUUUCAGUUAAUGAGACAGAGGUAUGAAAAAAAUAUAUACUUGCCUACCACUAAAACAAUGUCUCACAGUAGGGUGUACUCGACAAAAUAAUAAUAAGACGAAGCAAGAACACAUGCAAUAUGUAUACCUGCCAGCAAUGUAUCUUCAAGAAUAUGUUGGAAGAGAUAAAUUUCCCAUCUUAUUGAUGGGGAAACUAACAGUAAAUAUGAAAUAGCUUCCUCUGUAUCAUCUAUCAGGUGGUUCACUCAACUGAGAGAAGAGUCCCUCAUUUACAAAGCACUGCUUUCUUCAGAAUUUGAAAAUACUUUACAACUAUGCCAUAGAUAUUAUUUAUUGUAUGUUUACACAAAGAUGAAUGCAGGUGCAGAAGGACUGCACAGUAACCGCAAAGAGAACCCGG